UACAGGGGGUGCAAACGUUGCUCGGAAUCAUUGGGCGUAAAGCGCACGUAGGCGGACUCUUAAGUCGGUGGUGAAAUCCUGGAGCUCAACUCCAGAACUGCCUUCGAUACUGGGAGUCUCGAGUUCGGGAGAGGUGAGUGGAACUGCGAGUGUAGAGGUGAAAUUCGUAGAUAUUCGCAAGAACACCAGUGGCGAAGGCGGCUCACUGGCCCGAUACUGACGCUGAGGUGCGAAAGCGUGGGGAGCAAACAGG
rnacentral:rRNA from 1 species